rnacentral:piRNA from 1 species
UAGGAGUACUUAUGCUGAAUUGAUUC